rnacentral:tRNA from 1 species
GCCUGGGUGGCUCAGUCGGAUGGGCGUCCGACUUUAGCUCGGGUCAUGAUCUCACGGUUCAUGGGUUCGAGCCCCUUGUCAGGCU